rnacentral:lncRNA from 1 species
GCCGUUGCCAUCUCAUCCCCCAGGCAAGCUCUCUUUCCCUUAUUAUUAUCAACCUAUUUUCGAACAAUAUAAACCUAUGUUAUUCAGAAUUAAAGUGAGUGUGGGGAUAUCUAAAUAUGUGCCGACAUGAAUGUCAGAAGAAAAAUAGUAACAUAGUUAACCAUGCUAAAUGUCUGCACAUGUAAGUGUAUUAGAAAUGAUGAACUGGUAGUUAACCAUCUAUAAGUGAUCAUGCUACACUGAUGGGGUAGGAAUUUUCCAGCUAUUUACAUGUGAUAGAAUUCUUUGGUUAAAAUGGUGUAAACAAAAACUAGAAAUAAUAGUUGAGGCGAUCAGGUUAUGAUGUGUAAGAAAUGUUUACAGUUCCCAGAGGAGUGGAUCAGUAGUGAGGACAACAAAGGCUUCUUUCCUUACAGGGAAGAAACUUCGAUCAGUCAAAAAGUACACAAAACCAGCAGCAGUCCGAACCGUUCCGGUGUGUGCAGUGGCUGACCCCGACCGACCUCUUUGGUUCCCAGGCAGUACUCCUCCUCCAUGGCUCGAUGGCAGCCUCCCUGGAGACU